AUUGAACGCUGGCGGCAGGCUUAACACAUGCAAGUCGAGCGGUAGCACAGGGGAGCUUGCUCCCUGGGUGACGAGCGGCGGACGGGUGAGUAAUGUCUGGGAAACUGCCUGAUGGAGGGGGAUAACUACUGGAAACGGUAGCUAAUACCGCAUAACGUCGCAAGACCAAAGAGGGGGACCUUCGGGCCUCUUGCCAUCAGAUGUGCCCAGAUGGGAUUAGCUAGUAGGUGGGGUAAUGGCUCACCUAGGCGACGAUCCCUAGCUGGUCUGAGAGGAUGACCAGCCACACUGGAACUGAGACACGGUCCAGACUCCUACGGGAGGCAGCAGUGGGGAAUAUUGCACAAUGGGCGCAAGCCUGAUGCAGCCAUGCCGCGUGUGUGAAGAAGGCCUUCGGGUUGUAAAGCACUUUCAGCGAGGAGGAAGGUGGUGAGCUUAAUACGCUCAUCAAUUGACGUUACUCGCAGAAGAAGCACCGGCUAACUCCGUGCCAGCAGCCGCGGUAAUACGGAGGGUGCAAGCGUUAAUCGGAAUUACUGGGCGUAAAGCGCACGCAGGCGGUUUGUUAAGUCAGAUGUGAAAUCCCCGGGCUCAACCUGGGAACUGCAUUUGAAACUGGCAAGCUAGAGUCUCGUAGAGGGGGGUAGAAUUCCAGGUGUAGCGGUGAAAUGCGUAGAGAUCUGGAGGAAUACCGGUGGCGAAGGCGGCCCCCUGGACGAAGACUGACGCUCAGGUGCGAAAGCGUGGGGAGCAAACAGGAUUAGAUGCCCUGGUAGUCCACGCUGUAAACGAUGUCGAUUUGGAGGUUGUGCCCUUGAGGCGUGGCUUCCGGAGCUAACGCGUUAAAUCGACCGCCUGGGGAGUACGGCCGCAAGGUUAAAACUCAAAUGAAUUGACGGGGGCCCGCACAAGCGGUGGAGCAUGUGGUUUAAUUCGAUGCAACGCGAAGAACCUUACCUACUCUUGACAUCCAGAGAACUUAGCAGAGAUGCUU
rnacentral:rRNA from 1 species